CCAAUAGCGUAUAUUAAAGUUGUUGCAGUUAAAAAGCUCGUAGUUGAAUUUCGGGAUCAGUACGCUGGUCAUGCCUUUGGUAUGCACUGGUGUCACUGGUUUCUCCCUUCUGAAGAUCCGUGAUGUCAUUAAUUUGGUGUCGCGGGGAAUCAGGACUGUUACUUUGAAAAAAUUAGAGUGUUUAAAGCAGGCUCACGCUUGAAUACAUUAGCAUGGAAUAAUGAAAUAGGGCGUUUGACCCUAUUUUGUUGGUUUCUAGGAUCGACGUAAUGAUUAAUAGGGAUAGUUGGGGGCAUUAGU
rnacentral:rRNA from 1 species